GAUGAACGCUGGCGGCGUGCUUAACACAUGCAAGUCGAACGGACAAGAUGAAACCUAGUGAUUCUUGUUAGUGGCGGACGGGUGAGUAACGCGUGGGCAACCUGCCUCGUACAGGGGGAUAACACUUAGAAAUAGGUGCUAAUACCGCAUAAGCGCACAGUGCUGCAUGGCACAGUGUGAAAAACUCCGGUGGUAUGAGAUGGACCCGCGUCUGAUUAGCUAGUUGGUGGGGUAAAGGCCUACCAAGGCGACGAUCAGUAGCCGGCCUGGGAGGGUGAACGGCCACAUUGGGACUGAGACACGGCCCAA
rnacentral:rRNA from 1 species